CGCACCUUGCGCUCCUUGGUAUUCCGAGGAGCAUGCCUGUUUGAGUGUCAUGUUAACUCUCACUCUUCCCCCCUUUUUUCUGAAAGGGUGUGGGAUAGAUGUGGAUUUGGAAGCUUGCUGGAUCCAUUCGUGAUUCGGCUCUUCUUGAAUACAUUAGCUGGGCUUUGGUUGUCGCUCGUCCGCGGUGUGAUAGGUUUUUAUUCACUUCGGAAGGGGCGGUUUGCCGUGUAUUGGCCUGCUUCUAAUUGUCUUCGGACUUGCCUUGGGGCCUCUUAGUAGGCUCCUUGACUUUGACCUCAAAUCAGGUAGGACUACCCGCUGAACUUAA
rnacentral:misc_RNA from 1 species